rnacentral:rRNA from 1 species
UACGGGGGGAGCAAGCGUUGUUCGGAUUUACUGGGCGUAAAGGGCGCGUAGGCGGCCACCGCAAGUCAAUUGUGAAGUCUCCGGGCUUAACUCGGAAAGGUCAACUGAUACUGCGGGGCUAGAGUGCGGAAGGGGCAACUGGAAUUCUCGGUGUAGCGGUGAAAUGCGUAGAUAUCGAGAGGAACACCUGCGGCGAAGGCGGGUUGCUGGGCCGACACUGACGCUGAUGCGCGAAAGCCAGGGGAGCGAACGGG